AUUAAGAACCCAAGAGCAAGGAUCCCCGAUAAUCAUCCCCUAAGCCCCUAUUCUAAACCCAAUUUAUUUUUUGUUAAUUAAAUUACUUAUUUAAAAAAAAGGAAAUUAAGUUAAAAAAGAAAAUAAAUUGCAAAAGAAAAACGGAAGGCAAAUUCAUUUAGCCCCAAACCGCAAAACGACGAACCCUAAAUCACAUCUUCUUCUUUGUGUCUCUCUCUCUCUCGAGAAAAUCUGAGAAAAUUCACCGGCUAUUAUCUCUACGAUGCUUCACUUCCCCUUCGCCAGCGUUACUUAUUCUUACCUGGCUGAUUAUAUCCAUCUUAUCUUGUGAAGGAAGAUCAGCUAGUUAUGGAAGCCAAAAACAUGAUUAGGCAGAAAGAAUGCAGAAGCGUCUGGAGUCAAUAUGGUUCUGCUGCAGAGGACGAGGAAACUGUUUCAUCUCAAGACUCAUGUGUUACAUCACACCCACGGGUUAACAGGUAGACAUGAGAGCCAGGAUUCGAGUAAACAAAGGUUAAUAACAUAAGAGAUAAAUAUCGGGCACAGUGCACCUGCUUGUUCGAUAUCACAUUUUCAUUUUGGGAUUUUUGUUAAAAACUUAGUUAUUUGCCAUGUCAAUAUCAAGUUAGGCUUGUUACUAUACUCAAAAUUGAUUUAUUUUUUCCUGUUUAAAGUUGUAUUAUAUGGUACCAGAUGAAAUUGAAUGUCUUCAAGUUUCAAGAUA